rnacentral:rRNA from 1 species
UACGGAGGUGCGAGCGUUGCUCGGAAUUAUUGGGCGUAAAGCGCACGUAGGCGGAUCGAUCAGUCAGGGGUGAAAUCCCAGAGCUCAACUCUGGAACUGCCCUUGAAACUGCAGUGCUAGAAUUCUGGAGAGGCGAGUGGAAUUCCGAGUGUAGAGGUGAAAUUCGUAGAUAUUCGGAAGAACACCAGUGGCGAAGGCGACUCGCUGGACAGACAUGACGCUGAGGUGCGAAAGCGUCGGGAGCAAACAGG